UACAGAGGGGGCAAGCGUUGUUCGGAAUUACUGGGCGUAAAGGGCGCGUAGGCGGCCUGCUAGUCGAACGUGAAAUCCCUGGGCUCAACCCAGGAACUGCGUCCGAUACUGGUUGGCUUGAAUCCGGGAGAGGGACGUGGAAUUCCAGGUGUAGCGGUGAAAUGCGUAGAUAUCUGGAGGAACACCGGUGGCGAAGGCGACGUCCUGGACCGGCAUUGACGCUGAGGCGCGAAAGCGUGGGGAGCGAACAGG
rnacentral:rRNA from 1 species